rnacentral:piRNA from 1 species
UGAGUUGAACUGGUAUCAGCGGUC